rnacentral:rRNA from 1 species
CCUACGGGGCGCAGCAGUGAGGAAUAUUGGUCAAUGGGCGCGAGACUGAACCAGCCAAGCCGCGUGAGGGAUGAAGGUACAGAGUAUCGUAAACCUCUUUUGUCAGGGAAUAAAGGCGGGGACGUGUCCCCUUUUGUGUGUAUUUUAAGAAAAAGCAUCGGCUAACUCCGUGCCAGCAGCCGCGGUAAUACGGAGGAUGCGAGCGUUAUCCGGAUUUAUUGGGUUUAAAGGGUGCGUAGGUGGGCUUUUAAGUCAGCUGUGAAAAUUCGCGGCUCAACC